AAGAUUAGUAAUGUGAUCCCUCUUAGAGCUUGUUUGGAAUGCACUUGGAUUUGUUUGGUCUUCCAAUUGCUAAAUUAGAAGUUGCAAACACGAUUCUUUGUGCAUUUAAUAGAGGGAUAAAGAAAUUGGGGAUGUAAUGUAAUGGUUAAAGGAAUUUAACUUAUAAAGUUGGAGACUUGUAGAAGAGAUGCAGAAAGCUCCAAGUACACACAACAGCCUCCAAUGGCCUCUUAUCAAGAAUAAUAUAAAAGAAUCUUUUUGCCUUUGGUCUGAGUCAAUUCCUUGAGCUAAUAAAUUAAUUAGUUAAUGCAGUGAGAUUAAGGAUGCAAGGGGUCUUAUUGAUCCUCUGCUUUCUCAAAGGAGCAUUCUGCUCAAAGACAGCAUUUCCCACAAUCAAAUGCACAAAUACCCUUCCAAACAGGAACUAAAAAUUAUACAAUUAAUAAGAUAAGCUCAAAAAAGAUGCAAACUUUAAAGCUUGAUUUCAAAUUUCCCACAAAUUGCAUGAAAAUUAGAGGCAAAAUGAAACAAAUUAAUCAUUGCUUGGAUCUCUGUUACGCAUUCUAUAAACAAUACGGCCUCUAGAGGAAUCGUAUCGACUGACCUCAACCUUGACUCUAUCUCCAGGCAAUAUCCGCACAAAAUUCUUCCUUAUCUUGCCCGAAAUAUACCCUAUAAUCACAUCUGCAUUGUCUAAGCGAACCCUAAACAUACCGUUGGGGAGCGAUUCGGUCACUGAACCUUCAUGGGUCCAUUUCUGCUCCCCAGUUGGAUUGCCUUUUGCAUGUGUUGAAACAUCGAAUCUUGGAGGUGGAGGUGAAAUUGAGAGGUUGAGCGGCGUCGUUUUGAUGACGAUUCCCUGGCUAAAGAAGACUGUUCUCGGAGAAAGAGUGGUCGGUUUUGUAGAGUACGGAGAAGAGAACCCGGGCGCGGCGAGGAUGUGGACUUGGGCGGUGGUGGAGGUCAUCUUCUUGAGAGGCAAAUCGGAAGGUAAAAUUGGAGGGAACGAGAGCUGGGGAAGGAGGAGACACCCAGGCUUUGGAAGAGGAGCGAUGUGUGGUGGAAAGAGGGAGGAACUGAGCCUGCCGA
rnacentral:misc_RNA from 1 species